rnacentral:lncRNA from 1 species
UUUUUUUUCCUAAAAGCAGUGACAGAAUUCCCAUUGACCCGAACAGGAAUUGGAAUUAACACUCUGUUUCUCUGUAACUUAUGUUUUCAGACCAUUUACAAGUGGGGACUUCUUUUCUUGGUCAGCGUGGUAGGAACUUGUCAGAACAUCAUGGAGAUGUAUGAAGUAACUGCAGAUUAAUGUGACUGAAAAUGAGAGAAUUUGAUCUGCUGUCUGUUGGAGAGGGAAGCUGAAAUAAUGAGACCAGAGUGCAAAGGGACCAACAGAAAUGGAAGAAGGACUGCUAUUUGGAAACAGCACAAUCUUCACCUACCAAGUGGCUUUGGUUUCGAGCCUGUGUGGCUUUGUGUGUGUCACCAGUUUCUACAUCAGCUGGUUUCUGGUCUUUGUUGAGAAAUACACAUGAAACAGACUUACUGCUGUUCCUGUGAGAAGCCCAGCUAACUUGCAACCUUGAUAAAGGAGCCAAAGGCUUGGGAAGAUAUCACUGUGCACAAGAGAGC